UGGGGAAUAUUGCACAAUGGGCGCAAGCCUGAUGCAGCCAUGCCGCGUGUAUGAAGAAGGCCUUCGGGUUGUAAAGUACUUUCAGCGAUGAGGAAGGCGGUAAGGUUAAUAACCUUAUCGAUUGACGUUACUCGCAGAAGAAGCACCGGCUAACUCCGUGCCAGCAGCCGCGGUAAUACGGAGGGUGCAAGCGUUAAUCGGAAUUACUGGGCGUAAAGCGCACGCAGGCGGUCUGUCAAGUCGGAUGGGAAAUCCCCGGGCUCAACCUGGGAACUGCAUUCGAAACUGGCAGGCUAGAGUCUUGUAGAGGGGGGUAGAAUUCCAGGUGUAGCGGUGAAAUGCGUAGAGAUCUGGAGGAAUACCGGUGGCGAAGGCGGCCCCCUGGACAAAGACUGACGCUCAGGUGCGAAAGCGUGGGGAGCAAACA
rnacentral:rRNA from 1 species